AUGGAACUGAAAGACAGGGAGGUCUACAAGAUGACCCCCAAGUUACCUUCAACUCUAGCAUAUGAAAUCUGCUCACUCACAUACCCAUUAAACACUCUGCCUCUGGCCACGACAUCAACUGACCACGAGAUGGCGAUACAGCUUAACUCAGCACCUGGAUCUGUAACCCCAGCAUCUAGGGAAAGCCGUGCUCAAGGUAAUUUCCCAUAGUCAGCAAAUUUUAAAACAUAGACAUUCUAUACUAUUUGAGAACUCACCACCUCCCUUUUUAAAUACGACUUCUGGAUUUUCUUCACAGAGAAAAUGUUUUAGGGUGCCAACCAUCCCUAAGAGCAAGCAAGAGGGAUGUCAACUAGAGGCCACUGCUAGCGAACAGACCAAGAAAGCUCAUUUGCAUGACUGAAAACAAAGUAUAGUAUCCACACCAGCACAACUUUACCAGGUAGAAAAAUUAGAGGCUAUGGAUCCUCAUCAGACUCUAAACUUCAUUACUGUCAACACUAGAUUUGUUCUCUGUUGAAUACCUGUAAAUAUUUAGAGUGAACAAAUGCACUAAGCAUCAGCUAGGAGUACCUCAAUAUGAUGGGGUCUAGGGAAGAGGGCACUCUUCUGCAAGAGUUCACCAUCAGACUCAUAUAUGUAACAUAUGUUUAAUGGACACAUAUUAUGUGACAAGCUCAUGUAUCAGGUCUCAGAUAAAUAGCAUUAAUAGUGGCUACUAUUAUUCGUUAUUCAUUGAUUGCUAAUGACUACAGACUAUGCAUAGCACUCUACAUUUUAACUCAUUAGAGGUUUAUGGAAACAUUGCAUAUUAAGAUUAGUAGCCCUGUUUUACAGAUAAUGAAAGAUAGGCUCAAAGAAGUUAAGGCAAUUUGCUAAGAUUACUACGAUAGUUACUGAGUUCUGGUUUUACAAUACGGAAAAGCAAGAACACUGAGGAUAGAGGAAAGGUAUACACCAGCAAAUAUAACACAUAUUGUUCCUGACAACAACUAGGAGUGCAGUCAAGGACACGUCCAGAGCACAAUGCUUCUUCCUUGUCUUGGUCCUUGAAAUUCACUUCCACUGGUUCAGAAAAAGAAAAAGAUUUCUGACUUGUUUUACAAUAGCCAUUGUCUCCCAAUUCCCUCAUGGCAGUAUGGUCUUCAUCUAGACCAUUUGGUGAUUCUUAGUCAGAACAUUUUAUUACUUCAUCUGCAACCAAUGCUGC
rnacentral:lncRNA from 13 species